CGCACCUUGCGCCCUUUGGUAUUCCGAAGGGCACACCUGUUUGAGUGUCGUGAAAUUCUCAACCCUCUUCGCUUUUGUUGCGAAGCUAGGGCUUGGACUUGGAGGCUUUUGCCGGCUCUUGUCGGCUCCUCUCAAAUGCAUUAGCUACGUCUUGUUGCGAGCGGUCCUCGGUGUGAUAAUUAUCUACGUCGUCGUCGCUUGCUUCUUUUCGGAGACGCGCUUCAAACCGUCCGAAAGGACAAUUCAUCGAAACUUGACCUCAAAUCAGGUGGGACUACCCGCUGAACUUAA
rnacentral:misc_RNA from 1 species